rnacentral:rRNA from 1 species
AUAGAGCUAAAAUUAAGAAUCUAAGCACUAAGACUUUACAGUUAAAACUUAAAGAACAUGGCGGCGGUAUUUAUUCAGGGGAACUUACCAGAUAAAUGACAAUCCACAAGGGACCCCGCUAGAUUUUAAAAGUAUGUAUACCGCCGCCAAGAACUUACUUUAGGUAAGCUCAAUUAGUUAGUUAAUUCAACUAAAAGACAGGUCAUGGUGCAACCUAUAAUCUAGCCCUAGGCGAGUUACAGUAUUCCAUUUAUAUAUUUCUUUCCCUAUGAAAAGAGGUUUGAAGGCCGGACUUGAAAGUAAACCUUAAAAGGAAUAUUUAUUGAAUAUCUACUUAUACCGUGC